rnacentral:lncRNA from 1 species
GGGACCACCCAAUAAGCAACCGGGAAACCACAUACCAUGGACAGUGCUCGGGGAAUUUCGGCUCCUCCUCAUCCCUGGAGGUUCCAGGGAUCUGGCAGAGAAAGAAGCCCAGUCUCACAGCAAUGACUCCUGAACAUCCUUUGCAAACACUAUUUAGGACAGAUGGACUGAAGUAGGCCCUGGGGAGAGUUGGGGGCAUUUCCGGAGGCCAGACCAAAGGUGAUCUCCAGGAGAUUUGGAUGUUAGUGCAGGAUAGCUCAGAGCCAAGUGGCAGAUAAGUCUUUGGGAGCCAGAAGGGCUCUUUCUUCUCUAAGGAACAAGUGUAGACCUAUAGGGGCAAGAACCUGUGGCAACCCUGGGAGAGGUCUGCAGAUUCAGGAGGGAACAUCCCAAAACUCAGCAGAGGAGGAGAGGGAGCUUUUGUUGGUCACCUGGAACCACUACCAAUCCAUGUUCAUGUCAAAUUAAAUGAUCACUUUGAAGUUU